rnacentral:rRNA from 1 species
AGAGUUUGAUCCUGGCUCAGGACGAACGCUGGCGGCGUGCCUAACACAUGCAAGUCGAACGGAACUGUUUUGAAAGAUUUCUUCGGAAUGAAUUUGAUUUAGUUUAGUGGCGGACGGGUGAGUAACGCGUGAGUAACCUGCCUUCAAGAGGGGGAUAACAUUCUGAAAAGAAUGCUAAUACCGCAUGACAUAUCGGAACCACAUGGUUCUGAUAUCAAAAGAUUUUUAUCGCUUGAAGAUGGACUCGCGUCCGA